rnacentral:misc_RNA from 1 species
CAACCCUCAAGCUCUGCUUGGUAUUGGGCGUCACCACCCGUGGUGUGCCUUAAAAUCAGUGGCGGUGCCGUCUGGCUUCAAGCGUAGUAAUUCUUCUCGCUUCUGGAGCUCGGGCGUGUGCUUGCCAGCAACCCCCAAUUUUUAUCA